GUGGCUGCAGGGCGCUUGUGGCUCCUGCUGGGCCUUCUCCGUCACGGGCAACGUGGAAGGGCAGUGGUUCCUGCGCAAGGGCUCCCUCGUCUCGCUCUCCGAGCAAGAGCUGGUCGACUGCGAUGCCCUGGAUCAGGCCUGUGGGGGUGGCCUGCCUUCCAAUGCUUACGAAGCCAUCGAAGGGUUAGGUGGCCUGGAGACCGAGCGGGACUACAGCUACGAAGGGUUCGCGCAGAAAUGCGACUUCUCGAAGGACAAGGUGGCCGUGUACAUCAACAGCUCCGUGGGCAUCUCCCGCGACGAGAAGGGUACGUGGGUGGGAGGAG